UAGCUUCCAGCAGCAUUUGUGAGCUGCCUACCUGCGGCUAUGGCAAAAUAGUCCUUACCAUAAACCUCUUGGGUAGGUUGCAGCUAUGGGGUGCAGGAGCAGCUGUCCUGGCCAUGCAAGUGGCACAGAGUACUCUGCCUGCUUCUGGGGUGGCCUCCAAGUACUGAGGAAUUUUCAUCUUCCGGAGAGCAGGAAUCCUUAAAUCUUUGUAGCGGUAAAGAGGAGGCAACAUUGGUGUCUGCUGACUUUCCCCUCUGUUUCUUUCCAGGAAUUAAGAAGCUAAAGGUCAUUCCACAGAAUUUCUCCAUCCCUGGAAGACUUUGCCUUGGGACUGCAGCUGCAAGAUUGAUCCCUUAGUAUGCAGCAUAAGCACGGUCAUUCUGAAGGCAGUCUUACAAGGAACAGUGGGAAGUUUCUGUGCAGAACAGGAUUCUUGGAGAGGAUGCACCACUGCCAGGAUAUGGUGCUCUUCAAUGAAAGGUUGAACAAACUACCACUGCGUAGCCUAACGGAGCAAAAAAGAUGAGGUGUUUGGUUUACUUGCGGGGCAACAGAAGUUACUCUGCAGUUUGCAGUGCGGGUGAGCAGCAAAACAGCUUGUGGAAUUUCUGAACACACCCUGGCUCCUGUGGUUACUUUCGAUUCUCAGGACUGAGGUAACAUCAUCCUCCUAGCCUUUCAUUUCUGUGUUCCUGUUCUUCUGUUGUUGUUUUUAAAUAACAAUUGCUCUGGGUUUGCUAUUUAAAUAACAAAUGCAAGUGUUCUUGCAAAUCUUUGGCUGCCCAAGAGCUUCCGCUGGUAAUCUGCUCUUAAAAGUGUGCCAAGUCAUUCCCUGGGCAAGUUUC
rnacentral:lncRNA from 1 species